GAGCGAUGCUGUUGGGGAGUUACUUUUGUGGUGGAGCAGCAUUGUUGGCUUGUGGUCGCCUUCGAUUACUACACAGGCACAAGCACUGAUUGUUCCUCGGAUUUAAAUGGCUCCGAGGAUAUGGUGGCUACGGCACUGUGCUGCGGCUUUCGCCGCCGACGGUUAUGGUCGGCGAGUCGCUUUCUACAGCUUCUUUUCGUGUCGUCAAACUCUGAUAAGGGGUGGAACCUGACGAGACAACGAACCAGUAGCAACAUUCUAGCUACAGGCAAAGAUCACACGGAGAACAUCACAGGGAGAAGAUUGUCGAUGCAACAAGGAGAGCUGAACGAGCAACGGUGAGAGAGAUACGUACCUGCUGCAUUGCUGGCAAAACCGUUGAGUCUGUGCAUUGGCAAUUACGUUGGGUGCUUUCGAGUGUAUCUCGCAAACUUUGUGCCGCCGGUGGUAAUGCUUGGCUUUGCUCAA